GAUGAAGAACGCAGCGAAAUGCGAUAAGUAAUGUGAAUUGCAGAAUUCAGUGAAUCAUCGAAUCUUUGAACGCACCUUGCGCUCCUUGGUAUUCCGAGGAGCAUGCCUGUUUGAGUGUCAUUAAUAUAUCAACCUCUUCAGCUUAUGCUUGUUGAGUGUUGGAUGGUGGGGGUUUGCUGGUGUCUUAUGAAGUCAGCUCCUCUGAAAUGCAUUAGCGGAACAAUUUGUUGACCGUUCAUUGGUGUGAUAAAAAUAUCUACGCUAUUGACGUCAGUCAGUUCAGCUUCUAACAGUCCAUUGACUUGGACAAAUUUUUCACUAAUGUGACCUCAAAUCAGGUAGGACUACCCGCUGAACUUAAGCAUAUCAAUAAGCGGAGGA
rnacentral:misc_RNA from 1 species